GUUGAAAAAUAUUGUGGAUAAUAUAAGAGUUAAAAAAGAAUAUGAUAAAAUAGAAUUUCAAUCUCUCGCCUAAAAUUUCAAGCUUGCUUCCUGUUACAGAAAUUGAGUCGACUUUGAAACAUAAUCGUUCACAUAUCCAGAGACAUCCUGUUUUCAACGCAUCGCUACAUUCAUACGAUUAGCUUGAUUAUAUCAUAUUUACACUAGCGCCAAGACUGGUCUCUAACUAAGAUUAAUUCGCUUCGAGUUUCUGAAAUGACCCAAUUACGAGUUAAAAUUGAAACUCUACCAUGCUAAAAAUCCUCGAAGGAAGAAACUUCUAGUCCAGGUAAUAAUUACUUAUCAUCAAAAACUUUAAAACCGUCCAAUAAGCGAAAGAAUUAACUUUUCAAUUUACGUAAUACACAGUUUUAUGUAAGAUGGAACGAGUACUUCUACGAUUCGAAAACGGAAGAAGAAUCACGCAAAGUGACCUAUCGAAUGAAGAGGAAGAGGGGAAAGAAGGUUAAUUUCCGCUCGAUCGAAGGGUCGUUGCUCGUCCUCGACCGUCUUCGAAAUAAGGACACGCAAACAAGGACACAGAGCAAUCCAGUUUUCUCGUGAAUUCGUCCUUGACUUUUCACCUUUCAUCUUUUCACCAAAUUUUAAGAGAGGCGAAGAAAAAAAUUAGGUUAGAAGACCAAAAGAGAAAGUGUAAACGGGAUAAAAAGUUGGUCAGUCCAGGAAGUAGUCGGUGAAGCUCCAAUGCGAGACCAAGGAAAAAAAAAAAGAAAAAAAGAGAUUCGGCGGAUGGAAAGG